rnacentral:rRNA from 1 species
GAACGCUGGCGGCGUGCCUAAUACAUGCAAGUCGAGCGCAGGAAGCUCACGGAACUCUUCGGAGGGAAGUGAAGGGAAUGAGCGGCGGACGGGUGAGUAACACGUAAGGAACCUGCCCCAAGGAUUGGGAUAACUCCGAGAAAUCGGAGCUAAUACCGAAUCGUUCUUCAGACCGCAUGGUCUGAUGAUGAAAGGCGCUUCGGCGUCACCUUGGGAUGGCCUUGCGGUGCAUUAGCUAGUUGGUGGGGUAAUGGCCCACCAAGGCGACGAUGCAUAGCCGACCUGAGAGGGUGAUCGGCCACACUGGGACUGAGACACGGCCCAGACUCCUACGGGAGGCAGCAGUAGGGAAUCUUCCACAAUGGACGAAAGUCUGAUGGAGCAACGCCGCGUGAGUGAUGAAGGUUUUCGGAUCGUAAAACUCUGUUGUAAGGGAAGAACAAGUACGAGAGGUAAUGCUCGUACCUUGACGGUACCUUGCGAGAAAGCCACGGCUAACUACGUGCCAGCAGCCGCGGUAAUACGUAGGUGGCAAGCGUUGUCCGGAAUUAUUGGGCGUAAAGCGCGCGCAGGCGGCCUUUUAAGUCUGAUGUGAAAGCCCCCGGCUCAACCGGGGAGGGUCAUUGGAAACUGGAAGGCUUGAGUACAGAAGAGAAGAGUGGAAUUCCAUGUGUAGCGGUGAAAUGCGUAGAGAUGUGGAGGAACACCAGUGGCGAA